UAAAGGGCAGCGUAACAUUGGAAAUACACAUUACACAUUUUUAUAUACGUUCCCCUUUUGAGUGGAAGACUUGUCGAUAUAAUAGUGAUGGCAAAAAAAUUGGCUGACUUAAAAUAAUUUUAGAAAAGUAAAAGAAAAACAAAUGUUAAGUUAUAUAAAGUGUGUAAGGAAAGUAUUCUGAUCCCCUUACUUUUUUUUACAGUUAUAUUGGAGCCAUUUGCUAAAAUCAUCUAAGUUAAUUUUUUUCCUCAUUAAUGUACACACUGCACCCCAUAUUGGCAGAAUAAAACUGAAUUUUUGAAAAUUUUGCAGAUUUAUUUAAAAAGAAAAACAGGAACUAUCACACCGCCAUAAAUAUUCAGCCCCUUAGCUCUGACAUUCAUAUUUAACUCAGGUCCUUCUCCAUUUCUUCUGGUCAUCCUUGAGAUGGUUCCACACCUUAAUUGGGGUCCAGUUGUGUUUGAUUAUACUGAUUGGACUUGAUUAGGAAAGCCACACCCCUUUCUAUGUAGGUCACAGAGCAUAUUAGAGCGAAAGAGAAUCAGGAGAUCAAGGAACUGCCUCAAGAGCUCAGUGACAAGAUUGUGGUAAGGCACAGAUCUCGCCAAGGUUAUAAUUCUGCUGCACAUUUAGGUUUCCCAAGAGUACAGUGGCCUCCAUCAUACUUAAAUGGAAGAUGUAUGGGAUGACCAGAACCCUUCCUAGACUUGGCCGUCCAGCAAAACUGAGCAAUUGGGGGGAAUAGAGACGUAAAAGAAUAAUCCAAAGAUCACCGUGGCUGAGCUCCACAUUUGCAGUCGGGAGAUGGGAGAAAGUUCUAGAAGAUACUUCUCGGGCCGGAUCUCCAAUUCCAGGCUAGAGACCCUCCCCCAGGGUUUUGGCACAAACGGACUGUUCACCCGGCGCGCAACCAACACCUGACGUCGUUCCCUGCCUGCCAAAAUAGGCUCCUCCCGCUCGACCCCAAACAUACUGUUCUGGUGUGACGUGCUCUGUGAUUGGACGGCAACCAGUUCCGGGUGUACCUUUCUUUCUGCCUAAAGAUCAUAACCCUUAUGAAGAUAAGCGGCUCAGAGAAUGGAUCUGAAUGGACCAUCCAAGCGUGAGUUGACUUAGGCAAUAUCAGUAUCCAGCUUGUGUGGGACAAAGUGAAUUAUUCAACUCUCACAGACAUGAUGUAAAAAGUAGUCAGGUUGAGCCAUCAAAACACUAAAACAGAAAAUGACAAAAAAGACGCUGUCAGGUGCUGAUGGUUGCACUUCCUCCUAUGAGCUCCUGGCUGCCUCGCGCGUAAACUCUCACACACACCCACACACACACGAGUCUGUUAAUGGGGCAAUUUAAAUGCAGGUGCUGCU